AUUGAACGCUGGCGGCAUGCCUUACACAUGCAAGUCGAACGGUAACAGGCCGCAAGGUGCUGACGAGUGGCGAACGGGUGAGUAAUGCAUCGGAACGUGCCCAGUCGUGGGGGAUAACUGCUCGAAAGAGCAGCUAAUACCGCAUACGACCUGAGGGUGAAAGCGGGGGACCGUAAGGCCUCGCGCGAUUGGAGCGGACGAUGUCAGAUUAGCUAGUUGGUGGGGUAAAGGCCUACCAAGGCAACGAUCUGUAGUUGGUCUGAGAGGACGACCAGCCACACUGGGACUGAGACACGGCCCAGACUCCUACGGGAGGCAGCAGUGGGGAAUUUUGGACAAUGGGCGCAAGCCUGAUCCAGCCAUUCCGCGUGCAGGAUGAAGGCCUUCGGGUUGUAAACUGCUUUUGUACGAAACGAAAAGGCUCUGGUUAAUACCCGGGGCUCAUGACGGUACCGUAAGAAUAAGCACCGGCUAACUACGUGCCAGCCGCCGCAGUAAAAC
rnacentral:rRNA from 1 species